GACGAACGCUGGCGGCGUGCUUAACACAUGCAAGUCGAACGGAAAGGCCCUGCUUUUGUGGGGUGCUCGAGUGGCGAACGGGUGAGUAACACGUGAGUAACCUGCCCUUGACUUUGGGAUAACUUCAGGAAACUGGGGCUAAUACCGGAUAGGAGCUCCUGCUGCAUGGUGGGGGUUGGAAAGUUUCGGCGGUUGGGGAUGGACUCGCGGCUUAUCAGCUUGUUGGUGGGGUAGUGGCUUACCAAGGCUUUGACGGGUAGCCGGCCUGAGAGGGUGACCGGCCACAUUGGGACUGAGAUACGGCACAGACUCCUACGGGAGGCAGCAGUGGGGAAUAUUGCACAAUGGGCGGAAGCCUGAUGCAGCAACGCCGCGUGCGGGAUGACGGCCUUCGGGUUGUAAUCCGCUUUCGCCUGUGACGAAGCGUGAGUGACGGUAAUGGGUAAAGAAGCACCGGCUAACUACGUG
rnacentral:rRNA from 1 species